UUUACCGCUGGGCUCUUUUCUUCUAGCGCUCUUUGGAAGAGGCGUUCCUCUGUGACCAAUUGUCACAAAGAAUCUACAAUAGAUCUUCUCCAGCAGCUCUGGAGGUCAGACCCAGCUGUGGAGAGAGUCAUUCCUAGAAAACUGGAAGGCACUUUGGGAGACUACUACUUUCUGUGGAUGAAUGGGAAAUUCAAGACAUGAGAAAAUGGAUGGGCAGUAUGGAAAUAACCACUGUUUUGCCAGGACGAUUAAAUAUCAUUGAUGCUUCUGGUCUACAAUUAGUCACAGAAGAGAUAAAAAAAUGAUGAGUAUUCAAGAAGGAAAGUGUUUGCUUUAACCUAUGAAGAAAAUGAGCUUCAGAGUGGUGAUUAACCCCAGAAUUGUGUGGAAUGGAUACAGAAACAAGACCACAGGAGCAUCGAGAACUGAGCAGAACUGAAGGUGACAUGAAAAUCAGCUGCAAGAUUCACCUCAGGGUGAGAAUGGACUGCAGGUGGCUGCAGGAAUCCCGGGACAUUCUAGGCACUGCCAUAUUUUCUUAGGGGCCAGUAAGGAUGGCUAUCAUCAGAUGUACCUGAUGAUACAAACAUGGA